UUGGGGUUGACAGAGAGAAACUAAUAUUGUCGUUGACUUAAUUUACAUUUUAACUUAUCACUUUUGUAUCAAUUGAAUUGUGUGAUGUAGGGACCAGUAGGAAAACAAGGAGCAGCAGGAAUUUCAGGCGGCACAGGCUUGAAGAUAAAUGAUUGGCAUUUAUGUGACUGGCUUGUCAAUUAUUCAUUGUUUGUAAUUUCUUUUUAAGGUGAGGUAGGAGCUGAAGGUGCAGUUGGUCCACCAGGUAAACAGGGAGUGCAAGGUGUGAUGGGUCGUGCAGGUCCACCCGGACCUCAAGGUCCUCCAGGCAAAAGUGGAAUGAUGGUAUGAGACAACACAUUGAAUCGACACACAUUUUGCAUUUGUAAUUUGUAAUUGUAUUUGAUGUGAAUGGAGGGUCCACCGGGACCCAGAGGUCCUCCAGGACAAACGGGAGGACGUGGAGAGAAGGGGGAACGAUGAGUGGAGGGUCCAAGAGGUUUGGCUGGAUUAGAUGGCAUUCCGGGUGCUGCAGGUCCCAUCGGACCCGUAGGAUCACGUGGACCAUUAGGAGUGAAGGGUGAUCGUGGAUUACCCGGAGCAAAGGGAGAAGCCGGACCACAAGGUCGUCCUGGUCCAGAGGUGA